UACAGAGGGCUCAAGCGUUGUUCGGAUUCAUUGGGCGUAAAGGGUGCGUAGGCGGCGCGGUAAGUCGGGUGUGAAAUCUCGGAGCUUAACUCCGAAACUGCAUUCGAUACUGCCGUGCUUGAGGACUGGAGAGGAGACUGGAAUUUACGGUGUAGCGGUGAAAUGCGUAGAUAUCGUAAGGAAGACCAGUGGCGAAGGCGGGUCUCUGGACAGUUCCUGACGCUGAGGCACGAAGGUCAGGGGAGCAAACAGG
rnacentral:rRNA from 1 species